rnacentral:pre_miRNA from 13 species
GCUCUCGGCAGAAUCGCUCGCUGUUCCUUUUUCCUAUGCAUAUACUUCUUUGAGGAUCUGGCCUAAAGAGGUAUAUGGCAUGGGAAAAUGGAGCAAUGAGGUCCUCCUCAUCAGCACU